AGUGAACGCUGGCGGUAGGCCUAACACAUGCAAGUCGAACGGCAGCACAGUAAGAGCUUGCUCUUACGGGUGGCGAGUGGCGGACGGGUGAGGAAUACAUCGGAAUCUACUUUUUCGUGGGGGAUAACGUAGGGAAACUUACGCUAAUACCGCAUACGACCUACGGGUGAAAGCAGGGGAUCUUCGGACCUCGCGCGAUUGAAUGAGCCGAUGUCGGAUUAGCUAGUUGGCGGGGUAAAGGUCCACCAAGGCGACGAUCCGUAGCUGGUCUGAGAGGAUGAUCAGCCACACUGGAACUGAGACACGGUCCAGACUCCUACGGGAGGCAGCAGUGGGGAAUAUUGGACAAUGGGCGCAAGCCUGAUCCAGCCAUACCGCGUGGGUGAAGAAGGCCUUCGGGUUGUAAAGCCCUUUUGUUGGGAAAGAAAAGCAGCAGGUUAAUACCCCGCUGUUCUGACGGUACCCAAAGAAUAAGCACCGGCUAACUUCGUG
rnacentral:rRNA from 1 species